GUCUCUGUGGCGCAAUUGGCUAGCGCGUUCGGCUGUUAACUGAAAGGAUGGUGGUUCGAGCCCACCCAGGGACG